rnacentral:tRNA from 1 species
GGGCCUGUAGCUCAACUUGGAUAGAGCGCCUGGCUUCGGACCAGGCGGUUGUGGGUUCAAAACAUUAUGUGAAAAUCCUGCCAGGCCCG